UACGGAGGGUGCGAGCGUUGUUCGGAAUCACUGGGCGUAAAGGGCGUGUAGGCGGUCCGCUAAGUCUGAUGUGAAAGCCCUGGGCUCAACCUGGGAAUGGCAUUGGAAACUGGCGAUCUAGAGUGCGGUAGAGGGUAGUGGAAUUCCCGGUGUAGCAGUGAAAUGCGUAGAGAUCGGGAGGAACAUCUGUGGCGAAGGCGACUGCCUGGACCAGCACUGACACUGAGGCACGAAAGCGUGGGGAGCAAACAGG
rnacentral:rRNA from 1 species